rnacentral:rRNA from 1 species
UACGAAGGGGGCUAGCGUUUGUUCGGAAUUACUGGGCGUAAAGCGCACGUAGGCGGAUAUUUAAGUCAGGGGUGAAAUCCCAGAGCUCAACUCUGGAACUGCCUUUGAUACUGGGUAUCUCGAGUAUGGAAGAGGUGAGUGGAAUUCCGAGUGUAGAGGUGAAAUUCGUAGAUAUUCGGAGGAACACCAGUGGCGAAGGCGGCUCACUGGUCCAUUACUGACGCUGAGGUGCGAAAGCGUGGGGAGCAAACAGG